AGUGAACGCUGGCGGUAGGCCUAACACAUGCCAGUCGAACGGCAGCACAGUAAGAGCUUGCUCUUACGGGUGGCGAGUGGCGGACGGGUGAGGAAUACAUCGGAAUCUACUUUUUCGUGGGGGAUAACGUAGGGAAACUUACGCUAAUACCGCAUACGACCUACGGGUGAAAGCAGGGGAUCUUCGGACCUUGCGCGAUUGAAUGAGCCGAUGUCGGAUUAGCUAGUUGGCGGGGUAAAGGCCCACCAAGGCGACGAUCCGUAGCUGGUCUGAGAGGAUGAUCAGCCACACUGGAACUGAGACACGGUCCAGACUCCUACGGGAGGCAGCAGUGGGGAAUAUUGGACAAUGGGCGCAAGCCUGAUCCAGCCAUACCGCGUGGGUGAAGAAGGCCUUCGGGUUGUAAAGCCCUUUUGUUGGGAAAGAAAAGCAGCAGGUUAAUACCCCGCUGUUCUGACGGUACCCAAAGAAUAAGCACCGGCUAACUUCAUG
rnacentral:rRNA from 1 species